rnacentral:lncRNA from 1 species
UGUAAUUAUAUUGGCCCAUCAUCCAUUCAUUUUGGACUGUUUUCAUUGUGACUUCUCAAUUUACCAUGCAAAGUUUUGCCUUUACAAAAGGGAAGAACAAUGCAAGUGCUAGAAGUGGUCUUCUCUCGUACUUACACUUCUCUGUGUCUUUACGGUGUUUCCAUAAGUUUUAUUUGUUGGGUUUGAAAUCGACAGUGCAUCAUACGGAAGCUAUUAGUUGUAAACUAUCGUGGUGAUAAUUCAGACGACAAAGAAAACAAUACUAAAAGCAUUAAAUUAUUAUAUGUUUUGUUCAAUCGGCCUACAUAUAUAAAACCUAAUAUCAAAAACAUUAAAUCUAUUGGGAGAAAUCUCCCCCCAAACAAAGACUCUUUAAUGACUACAUUGU